rnacentral:rRNA from 1 species
GACGAACGCUGGCGGCGUGCUUAACACAUGCAAGUCGAACGGAAAGGCCCUGCUUUUGUGGGGUGCUCGAGUGGCGAACGGGUGAGUAACCCGUGAGUAACCUGCCCUUGACUUUGGGAUAACUUCAGGAAACUGGGGCUAAUACCGGAUAGGAGCUCCUGCCGCAUGGUGGGGGCUGGAUAGUUUCGGCGGUUGGGGAUGGACUCGCGGCUUAUCAGCUUGUUGGUGGGGUAGUGGCUUACCAAGGCUUUGACGGGUAGCCGGCCUGAGAGGGUGAGCGGCCACAUUGGGACUGAGAUACGGCCCAGACUCCUACGGGAGGCAGCAGUGGGGAAUAGUACACAAUGGGCGGAAGCCUGAUGCAGCAACGCCGCGUGCGGGAUGACGGCCUGCGGGUUGUAAACCGCUUUCGCCUGUGACGAAGCGUGAGUGACGGUAAUGGGUGAAGAAGCACCGGCUAACUACGUG